GGCGCGCUCCCGUGGGGCGGCAGGUGCACCGGCGCCUCUCGGCCGGCAGGUGGCGGUAAGGAAACGGCCGUUUGGCCGUUGCAUCCGACGGCUGGUCAUCGGGAAAUGGCACUCGGGAGUGGAGAGGCAUACAUCUUCUUUGGGGACAGUUGUGUCUGUGUAAUUUUCUGCGCAAGGCCAGGUUGGCUGAAAUCAGAAGAGGAAAAAUCACAAAGUGUUCUUUAGGAAGCUGGCUUUGUUGGUGUCUGGAGGAGGCGAAUUACAAAACAACAUAUUUGAUACAAGCUGCUGCCCUGAUGCUAUUUCAUCAAUUGCUGUUGGUUUCAGAAUUGCUCGGUAUAUGCUACAUCAUCCACUAAAGUAUUCACUGCACAUUAAGCAACGAUAAACAGGAAAACCAGCAAAGUAAAUCACUUCAAAGCUGA